rnacentral:lncRNA from 10 species
AGGGGAAGCCCCAGUAGAGGGAGGAGGAGCCUGGAGAUGCUGCUGGGAAGGACUGGACCAGACUUCCAUCCCUCUAACCUCUGCCCAGCCCAAGCAGCAGCCUGCAAUGAAUGUUUGUGCUGAGGACCGAGACCAGCUGUGUCAAUGUUAACUGCUGGUUCCAGGAUACUCUUUCCCAGGUGGAUGAGGGUGAAAACAAUAAAGAAUGUCACUCAUUGCUUCAGGGAAUUCCUGAAAACCAAUUAUCCAGAGCAGGUGAUGCUGGCUGUCUGUCCUGGGGACACGGACACUGAGGGUGGCUGAGUCAGCUCAUAGGAGGCCACGGAUCCUACAGGAGAGAAAACGGGAGAGAAAAGGCUUGAAACUGAGGAGCUGAACUCCAAGUAAAUCUUCCCACGUGCCUGGCCUGGACACAGAUCCAGGGAUGAAAGAGCCCUAAGGCAGUGUGAGCACAUGAGCACUGUGUGGGGGGAUUUCAGCCCCGCCGAGCCCAUCCACCUGCAGCAGGGUCAUGAGCAUCCUGCCCACCACAGGCGGGGGCCCUGCUGAGCUCAGAGUCAGGGCCAGGCUGGACCCAGAGCCCUGGGACUGGACCAGUGGCUAGGACCCUAGGGGCAGCACCUGUGCAGUAAGCAAGGACGCCGAGGAAGAGAGGGAUCCAUGCCAUGGCUGAGGCACCUCCGAUGCUGCUUCCUGAGGCCCAGGCUGGGCAGGUUCUUCCAGGCCUCUCUUAUCCCCUUGCUGGAAAGAGCGGCCCGUGAUGCAAAUCAGCAGUCAGGGGCUGCUGCAGGAGGAGCUGUGUGGUUUCCAGAGAAGGGCUCAGCCCCAAGGGACAGAGAGAGAGGGGGCCCCUAAAGACCCACCCUCAGCACACAGAAUUCUCAUUCUCCUUCUGGUCCCAUCAUCUGGGUUGACAUCGUCACUGUAGGUUGUGUUAUGGCCUCACUCCUGAGCUGAUCUGGCCAUGCAGAACUCUGAGAGGAAUUCUUUGUGCGUUUUCCAGGUAGUAUGAUGUCCUGCCCAUGUGGCCAUUCCUUGUCCUGCGUGGAGAUGGCCAGGGACUGACUUACAAUGGCGACUGAGGGAUUAUUCUGAGAUCUAAGGUGACACCGUAAGGCUGGCACACAUGCAGGGACCUGCCAUUGCUUCUGAGUGGUGCUUUCCACAAUCAAACUUCACCCUUGUCAUGUGCACACGGAGUGUUGAAAGACUCAGGAGAUGCUGUCCCUGAUUCCCUGGUCUGCAGACUGCUGGUGCCAAUGGAGGAAAUUUUUCUCUUCUCUUUGUGACUCAUGCCUGCCUCAAUACCAGGACCAGCGUACAGUGGUGACUCCUGCACCAAAGUCAGAGACAGAAGAACAUCCACCCAUCAAAUGUUAAUCCAGACCCACUGUGGUCUGGGACACGUUCCAUGCGGUGAAUUCAGCAGGAACAAGACACAGCCUUCUUGAAAUACAGGACCUAGGAACACAAAAUCUGCAAACUGCACUUAACACAAAAGGGAAGGGGCUGAGAUGGGGAGGAACAAUUCCAAGGUCACUUGGCAAGGAGAGAGAAAAGGAAGACGAGAAAUGCUCUGGACCUGUAACAGUAAGUCUUCUGAGUGUCCUGGGACCAGCCUGCCAGGGAGGGCAUGGGAAAAUCCUCAGCCCAAAUUCUCAGCCCAAAUCCCUCCCUAUGGAGACGGCAUCUCAGUCAGCUCUUUUAGCUGCCUGUAGGGGGCGCGCCUGCCACACUCUGGGUUGAAAGGGAGAGAAAAGACGGUUGAUUCCCAGCUCAGGAACCAAGCUGUCUAGAGACAUUUUCUUUUCUUUUUUUUUUUUAAUUUAUUAUUAUUAUACUUUAAGUUUUAGGGUACAUGUGCACAAUGUGCAGGUUAGUUACAUAUGUAUACAUGUGCCAUGCUGGUGCGCUGCACCCACUAACUCGUCAUCUAGCAUUAGAUAUAUCUCCCAAUGCUAUCCCUCGCCCCUCCCCCCACCCCACAACAGUCC